AAGAUUAAGACUAGCCAUGCACGUCUAGUACAAACUAAAUGAUGGUGAAACUGCAAAUGGCUCAUUACAACGGUUAUGAUGUACCCGGGAGUUCCGAUGGAUAUUUCCAGUAACACUAGAACUAAUACAUGUCCCUGCGUUUAUUAGUUUCGCACAGUCCGUCGCUGAGUCAUGGUAAACAGUUGAUCGACUCGACGUCCCGGAACAGUUUCCGCCCCAUCAGCUUCGAUGGUUGGGUAUUGGCCUACCAUUGCAACAACGGGUAACGAGGAAUUAGGGUUUGAUUUCGGAGAGGGAGCCUGAGAAACGGCUACCACAUCUACGGAUGGCAGCAGGCGCGCAAAUUACCCAAUGCAGACACUGUGAGGUAGUGACGAGAAAUAAUAAAGCGGGACUUCUGUUUCGCUAUUAUAAUGAGGAAUAACCAAAGGUCAUUCCGAUUAGCAACUGAUGGGAAAGUCUGGUGCCAGCAGCCGCGGUAAUACCAGCGUCAGUAGCAU
rnacentral:rRNA from 1 species